AUCAUCUGCGUGAUUGGGAUCAAGCCGAGCGCGAGGAAUCCUUCGUGCUUCGUGAUUCCUUUUAUCUGAUCGCGCGAACUGCGAGAAUCCCAUGCGUAGCGCAUUUUUAGAAUUAAUUAGCGAAUAUCCCUUUCCUGUCGUAAGUCGGUUAGGAGUUCGUUGAUUUCCAUCGGUUGCCGUUAAGUUCCUUCCAAAACCGCCAUUGAAAUGUACACGACGCGCGAUUACCGUAUUAAUCUGCGGGAUUGAUUUCAUUAAUUUGAUCGUAUAAAGAGAUUAUAACAUCAUAACUACGAGAUACGCCAAGUGGAUUCUCCGUCAACAAGUUCAGCAAUAACAACAACAACAACAACGUGUAACAAAGAGUUGUACUCCAGCAUCAAUGAAAAGUAGACACUUCAACAUUGUAGCCCGCAUAACGUCGACAUUGUAGGUCGCAGGCUUGUCAAGGUCGCUAUUAUGGAUGAGAAACAGACUAUCGCAUGUGUAUUUCAAUGCAUCUAAAAAAUAUAAGUACAAGAACGAGAAGAAUAGAAUGGAAGUGCGGGAAGGAGGAUGUGAUAGGAGUUGCAAUUGGAGUGCGUGUAAAACGCAAUAUGAAAUUAUCUCGAUCAUCGACUUUGUCACGUUCUCUUCUUAUUGUAAUAAUCGAGUACGUCAAGAAAUCGCAAAGAUUAAACGUCAUUAUGUUGCAAUAUUUUGUAUAAACGGUAUACAUAAUUGAACACAAAAGAAAUAUUCGCAUGACACGAUAUGAUAUUGCAAUAUAUGUGAAAAAUAAAAUUUCCUCAUAUACUUUUUUCAUAGGACAAAAGAA